UACGGAGGGGGCUAGCGUUGUUCGGAAUUACUGGGCGUAAAGCGCACGUAGGCGGCUUUGCAAGUUAGAGGUGAAAGCCCGGGGCUCAACCCCGGAAUUGCCUUUAAGACUGCAUCGCUUGAAUCCGGGAGAGGUGAGUGGAAUUCCGAGUGUAGAGGUGAAAUUCGUAGAUAUUCGGAAGAACACCAGUGGCGAAGGCGGCUCACUGGACCGGUAUUGACGCUGAGGUGCGAAAGCGUGGGGAGCAAACAGG
rnacentral:rRNA from 1 species